ensembl:lncRNA
GUCAGAUGAGAUCAGGCUUUGUCAGAGUGGUAUGGCCGUAACCGAAAGCUGACCCCAAAUGGGGCCUAUUUAAAUAGUGUAAUCAAAAGACUGACUGACUGAUUGAUUGAUUGGGUCCCCUUCAAACCUGUGUCCAACCUUUAUCCCAAAACAGGAUGUUGUGCAGAGGCCAUGAAAACACUGAUCCAAAUAAAAAGCUUACAGCACCUAGUAUUCCCAUUCAGUCUCCCAACCAAGUACUAACCAGGCCCGACUCUGCUUUGCUUCCAAGGUCAGAUGAGAUCAGGCUUUUUCAGAGUGGUGUGGCCGUAAGCGAAAGCUGACCCCAAAUGGGGCCUAUUUAAAUAGUGUAAUCAAAAGACUGACUGACUGAUUGAUUGAUUGAUUGAUUGGGUCCCCUUCAAACCUGUGUCCAACCUUUAUCCCAAAACAGGAUGUUGUGCAGAGGCCAUGAAAACACUGAUCCAAAUAAAAAGCUUACAGCACCUAGUAUUCCCAUUCAGUCUCCCAACCAAGUACUAACCAGGCCCAGCUCUGCUUUGCUUCCGAGGUCAGAUGAGAUCAGGCUUUUUCAGAUGGGUAUGGCCGUAAGCAAAAGCUGACCCCAAAUGGGGCCUAUUUAAAUAGUGAAAUCGAAAGACUGACUGACUGACUGACUGAUUGAUUGAUUGAUCGAUUGAUUGGGUCCCCUUCAAACCUGUGUCCAACCUUUAUCCCAAAACAGGAUGUUGUGCAGAGGCCAUGAAAACACUGAUCCAAAUAAAAAGCUU